GAUGAACGCUGGCGGCGUGCCUAAUACAUGCAAGUCGAGCGAACUGAUUAGAAGCUUGCUUCUAUGACGUUAGCGGCGGACGGGUGAGUAACACGUGGGCAACCUGCCUGUAAGACUGGGAUAACUUCGGGAAACCGAAGCUAAUACCGGAUAGGAUCUUCUCCUUCAUGGGAGAUGAUUGAAAGAUGGUUUCGGCUAUCACUUACAGAUGGGCCAGCGGUGCAUUAGCUAGUUGGUGAGGUAACGGCUCACCAAGGCAACGAUGCAUAGCCGACCUGAGGGGGAGAUCCGCCAAGCUGGGACUGGGGCACGGCCCAGACUCCUACGGGAGGCAGCAGUAGGGAAUCUUCCGCAAUGGACGAAAGUCUGACGGAGCAACGACGCGUGAGUGAUGAAGGCUUUCGGGUCGUAAAACUCUGUUGUUAGGGAAGAACAAGUACGAGAGUAACUGCUAGUACCUUGACGGUACCUAACCAGAAAGCCACGGCUAACUACGUGCCAGCCGCCGCAGUAACAC
rnacentral:rRNA from 1 species